rfam:TPA: Bos taurus chromosome 5, whole genome shotgun sequence.
UCCCUGGUGGCUCAGACGGUAAAGCGUCUGCCUGCAAUGCAGGAGACCCGGGUUCGAUUCCUGGGUCGGGAA